UUUUACACUGCUGCACUGAGGGCACAUGCAUCUUUAGUGGGACUUGGAAUUCUGGAGAGUUGUCUUUAUGAAAAACUGGUUAUAAUUUUCUUUAAAUCCCAUCUCUUAGUUUUCCCUUUUGUUAUAUUUCGGGGAACAUCGAGAAACC
rnacentral:other from 13 species